UUUGCAUCUGGGUUGACUGUAUAGUUCCUAAUACCGCACUUGGUUCAUUUCAUUGAUGAUGAGGAUUCCUGUUAUAGUCUGUUACAUAUCAACACAGUGCUGAGCUACAGCUUUACACAGUUCUGAUCUUUUCCGAACGCUAGCCAGCUGCCUCACCGAGCCCACAUGCAAACGUGGUAAUAGAUGUCUGGUCCAUACAGGAGGCAACAGGAUGAGACGAACAGUCCCCAAGGGGAGGAGAAGUGAGAAGAUUCUAACCCUGCUUAAUGUAGAGAAGCUCUGUUUGACUUUUCUACUUUACAUUUGAUUUAUAUGUUGGUUUUCUGCAUAAGCCUUCAUUGGAAAUCUGCUGCUAAAAAAAAAAAAAAAAGAAAGAAGAGAAAAGAAAAGAAAGAGAAAGAAGAAAAAGGCUGAAAAUCACUCUUCUGUGUUCUGUUGGGUUUCUGCCAGUACUCUUCUUUCUUUAAUUGCCAGCCCAUCCUUAGGCAAGUAACUGCUCAUUAUCACCUUUACAGAAAUUCUAAAAAGGUAAAAUUUCA